UUCUCCGUUUUGCUAGGCACUUCUCCUUCCUGCCAUCAUGUGAAGAAGGAUGUGUUUACUCCCUCUUCUGCUGUGAUUGUAAGUGUCCUGAGGCCACCCUUGCCAUGGGGAACUGUAAGCUCCCUCAGAUGCUCCAAAAGAGGUCAUGAUGACGUAUCAAGAAUGCAAGAAAGCAGCCAUCUGGAAACCAAAUGAGAGCGUUCAUCAGAAACCAAACCAGUCAGCACUCCGAUCUUGUGCUUCCAGCCUUCAGAACUGUGAGAAAAUACAUUUCUGUGGUUUAAGCCA